GUUGCCAUGGGAACCUCGCCCCUUCUAGAGUCCUGGCCGCUUGACUCAGCUAAGCGCGAAGGUGUUGUUUCUUCCUGAGGUGCGCUGGGGCUGGGACCCGGUCUGCAGAAGGUCCAGGGGAUGGCGUCGGGGGAUUGAGGAGAGGAGACCAAGCCGGCCUUGCCUCCGGGACCAGCGCUUCCAAAUUCUCUGGGGCGUCCCGGCGCGCACACGCUCCUGAGGCCUCGGCGUUCUGAGGAAAGGGGCUGGCGUGGCGACCCGGGUCCUCGAGGCCGAGAUCUGGCUGUGGCCCGCGAAGCCCCGCUUGCCCGCGCCAGCGUCUUGUCACCCCGAGCCGAGGGCCUGCGCGCGGCCGACAGAUAUGGGAUGCUGGAGGACAUCUGGGGGCCACAAAUGCUCCUUCUCCUGGAGACGCAACUCAAGGGUCCUCAAGGUCAUAGAACCCCAUAACCCCAUUAGGUGUCAGGGGCAGAAACAGGACUGUGUGAAGAUUCACAGCCUCCACCUCCCUUGCCUUCACGGAGCUUCGGCAUCUACCCUUAUUCCAGGCGGCUGCUCAGGGGCACCGUUCUACCCCUUUCUGCCUGGAGAAACUGCCGUUUUUCCUUAAAGGAUCCUCGAAGCCGGAAGGAGCAGCCACCUCCCACUCCCGGCUGCUGCAAGCAAGCUGCUUUGACUUCUUUCUAGAGUUGGGGAUUGCUGCUGGAGUCCGAGUCUCAGGCCCAGAGUGGGUGCGAUGGUCUUGCUUGCACCCUGUAUCCCCCGGCAGACGCCCGGGAACUCUACUAAGUGGGUGACCCCAGAGAGCUCGCCCCCACACUCCGACUCCGAGUCCAGCACUCGGUCCACU